AUAGCAAAUUCUUGAAAUUUUUAAGUUGAUUGGACUGAUAUGCAUCAUCAUCCAUAGUUACUUAAUUUACAGCUUACAGUGGCAGAAGAAGAAAAGGCAUUAACAAGAUUUUGAUAUUGUUGGUGUCAAAAGUCUCGAGGAUCAACAAAUAUAACUGGCGAAGAGGAUCUAGAAGUGAACCAAUCAGAGUUCUGAAAAGAACCCUUGUGAAGAUUCUUUAUACACCACAUGUCCUCUGCCCAUGAGAAUUUUCUCCAAUGUGGGACUACGUCUCUGACUGGGUCCCUUUGGCCCAGUUCAGCCACAAUGGCCCCACAACCACCACCAUCUCUUCCCAUGUUAUGCACAAAUGCACAUAAGCACUUCAUCAGUUGAGCACCACACUUUCCUUCCAUGUGCAGUCCAUACAAAAAAUAAACCCCAAAUGGCCUGAAAACAUCUGGAAACGAAGGUAGCCUUAGCCAUGGCAUCCAUUCAUCCAACAACCUCGUACCUACGCAGCAGGCAUGUGCCAAUGGUGACACACCCUUUACUUGCAAUUUGAACACGUCUUUGGUGUUCCACACGCUCAGUAUGGCAUAGCUUGGAGGGAGAAUGCCCCUUUUUGGAUCACACUUGGAGAAGUACUUCUUGGGGAUGGCCAUGAAAGUCCCCAGAUUCAGCUUGUUGCACAAGAUCGAGUCUUUGUCUUUAGGGUAAAAUUCUGAAUUGGCAAACAACUGGUCAUACAUGGAGCCUGCAAGGCGUGGUGGAAGGCGAAGCACGGCAACGUUGGAGCUGAUUGGUUUGUAGUGAGCAUGCACAGGUUGCACCAGUAUGGUUAGAGUCCUGAACUUUGAGUAGCCACAUUUUUUUGUGAACAGAUUCACUGAAGGCUCAUUGGUACAAUCAGUUGCCAUAUAUGCAUACUUAGCCCCUUUUUGCUUGCACCACUCUUCUAAAUGUUCGACUAGUUUUGUGCCAAUGCCAAAUCUCCUGCAUAUGCCAAGAUAAGUCUUUUACUUGUUGUUGCCUCAUCAAGCAUCAGAACAUUUAUACCUACUGCUUUUUGGUCUCGGUAUGUUUUUAUCUAGAAAUAGAUAUGUAAUUAAAAGUUAUGAUGAAACGGAAAUUAAAAUGAAGGUGGAUCAUGAGGAAUAUUUGAACUGAAUGGAAAAGUAAGGUUUGUGUGGACCUUGGUGUCUAGAUGAAGAAUUUUGUACGAAAUUCAGUGAGACGGUUGAAUAUAAGAAUAAGACAUCAUAUCCAAUUGCAGUUUCUUAUUAAAGUAGUCUUAGUGGAUACAUCAUACAUGUGUCAAUGACAGGCUAGCUUAACCAUACUUUUUUCACCUUUCCAUGAUACGAGGAACAUUGCCUUCUCUUUUUCUUAGAAUCUAAUCCUCCACCCCUUCUUUUUUUUUUUCUGAUUUUUUCGUUUCUCUUAUUUUAUAAGGCCCGAAUGAGAUUAGAACCAAGAAAGCACACAACUAGCUGAAGAGAAAGGGAUUAGAACCAAUGGCAAACAGAACAGAAGCAAAACCAGUUUCAGAAUUGACUUUUGCUUUUUGCAGAAAGAGAUUGAAGCAAGCAAACCAAUAACAUAUGAGCAGAGUGGAAUAGAACCUGUGUCGAGGGGAGACUCUGAGCCCCAAAAUAUAGGCCAGUUUUACAUAAACCGAAUUCCCUCUUGUAACUGUUUUUACACAACCUCUUAUCACCCCAACAACUUCUCCUCCUUCUCCAUAUUCUGCAACCUGUUAUUUUGACCAAAUGCAACAUUCAUUAGCCUUUCUCAAAACCAGCAACAGAUCUAUCUGAAAAACAUAAAUCCUACUUCAGUUUUAAAGGAAUGCAGGCUGAUUAUCAUACAAUUUCAAAGUGUAAAACUGAUACUAUUCCAAACUCAUAUUUUUUGUGCUGCAAUCAAAGUUGAAGAUAGUGUAAAACUGAAAAAACUGAAAAGUAAUGAGAUUUUUAACUAGAUUUGUAGCUGGUUGCUUACCAGCAUGACAUGCAAUUGAAAGUGACGGAUACGGCAUAUGGGGUCUCCCAUGAGGUCAGUGACAAGAGAUGGCUUUCCACUCUGCCCAACUUCACAAAGCCUCUCGAGUUUCUCUACUGCCACCUUGUGUCUAUCUUCAUCAUAUUCGUUUACCACAAUCAAUGGCUCCAUCACUGUCUCUGAUGGUGAUUUUGGAUAAACUUCUGCUGCUAUCUUUAGAGACAUGGUAUAGAUACAGAUGAUUAGAACAAUCAGUAGCAAGCAAAAGAGAAAGAAGAUCACUAAUUAUCCUUUGCUGCUUCUCAGUUGUGCUAGCUUCUAUCAGCUUUCGAUGCUCAUCUCCCUAUCUGUAUGUGAAUAUAUACAUCUUAGAAGCCCCAAGAAUAUGCAUACGUGGCACCUCCCCAAAGUUUAGUGGACCUUGUUCUUUUGGCAAAAAUGAAAAGAAAAGGAUGGAAAAAAUCUAAACUUGUAUUCUGCUAUUUCCAUUCCAUAAUAUUACAUCAUGUUCAUAUCUUCUUUUGUUUGUAGUGCGUGAUCCAAUACAUCAUGUACAUAUCGAAAUUAAAUAAGCUCUGGUGCGCCUGUACACUUUUUGUGAGAGAUAAUAAACCACAUAUUAUUUUGGAUCACUAUGCAGAGAGUUGAAAUUUCAAAUUUUUUCAGCAUUCACAUUAAAUGUGCACAAGGGAGAGCUGCACUAACCAGUCUUCGCAUUCAUUCACAAUGUGAUACACCCAUAUGAGGAUAAUGAUGUCCUAAUAAUGACAGGAACAACAACAAUGACAGCAAUAGCAGUUUAAGGUAAAGUUUAUCUGCAGUCAAAUGUAGUGCCCAAACUAUUGAAUAAUUGUCCCUUGUUCAUAAUACAAGAGUAGGUAUCACUUAUCCCUAUCCAAAGAAAAAAGCUCCACUGAAGGUUUAUUUUGGAAUGACAUCAAAGUAUGUGGUUUUAGAUGAGAAAGUGUGAUUUAACUGAGUAAAGGGUUACCAUUUAUGUCCUUGUGUGGUUAGUUCUGUCUUGUUAUUGUUAUUGAAUGAAAGAAGAGUGGUGGGUCAUUGAGUGUUCUUUAGAAUCAUGAUGGCAAAUGUUGUGCAAGAUUCGCCCAGGUGUUUGAAAACUAGAAGCCUGAAGCAUACACAAAUAAAGCCCUUAUCUUAUUACUUUCCUUUCACCAAUUAUUGGGGGAGGUGGCAUAGAAAGCAUGCCUUUCACCACGUUUUUGGUGAACAUGUGGGAUGCUACUGUGCGGCUUAAAAGUGGGGUUUUGAUCACCAUCAUCAUAUGCACAUAUUGAGCUCUUUUUUCAAUUGAAACCGUACCAUUCCUUUGUUUGUUUAUGUUUUAAAAGAAUGGUGCCAAGUGUUGUGAGAGAGAGAGAACAAACAACUCUUUCAAUGGCUACGCAUGUCCCUAGAAGCUUCAUUCACCCCAAGCCAAGCCAAGCCCAUAUCUCAUUAGCUGAUGUGUCUUCUUUCUAAAUUCGGAUCAGUUUUGCUCAUUCAUGACUGCUACACUGUGGUCCAUUUGUACUACAACUUACCUGUUAAGGAAUGCAAAAUUUAAUCUAAAAUUUCAUACACUUUGAGUCCUAUCACCACUUGCUCCAAAUGAUACAUGCAAAUGGUACAAAAGCAAAAAAGAACUCUCUCAUCAUCAAAAACAGAGAGCUCUCAAUACAGAAGAAAGCUAUGCAUAUACCAAUGUUCUGAUUGGACUUGCAUGAUCAAUGCACUAUCACCAAAACGAGAAGCUGGUCAAGAUAGAGCUGCAAAUUCUGAUUUGCCAUAUUAAUAAUCUGUCCAAAGCAUAUACUUUGACAUGAGGAAGUUGUGUUCUCUGUCCUUAUACCAACAAAAUCCCCAAUCAUCAUUCUUUGUAGCUUUGGUAAUUCAUCAUGAAGGCUAUGGUCAAUAAAUGAAUGUUCGCUCUCUUUUCUCUGUCCAACUUUUCAGACCAUUAUGUUUCAUUGUUCUUCAGUUUUUAUCACUUUUAGUUUGCUUCAAUUUUCUCUCCAGAGUAAUACAGUCAAAGGUGAACAUCAGAG
rnacentral:sRNA from 1 species